GUCCAGACUCCUACGGGAGGCAGCAGUGGGGAAUAUUGCACAAUGGGGGGAACCCUGAUGCAGCGACGCCGCGUGGGUGAAGGAGCACCUCGGUGCGUAAAGCCCUAUCGGCAGGGAAGAAACAGACGGUACCUGACUAAGAAGCCCCGGCUAACUACGUGCCAGCAGCCGCGGUAAUACGUAGGGGGCAAGCGUUAUCCGGAUUCACUGGGUGUAAAGGGAGCGUAGACGGCAUGGCAAGUCUGAUGUGAAAACCCGGGGCUCAACCCCGGGACUGCAUUGGAAACUGUCAGGCUAGAGUGUCGGAGAGGCAAGUGGAAUUCCUAGUGUAGCGGUGAGAUGCGUAGAUAUUAGGAGGAACACCAGUGGCGAAGGCGGCUUACUGGACUGUAAAUGACGCUGAGGCUCGAAAGCGUGGGGAGCAAACAGGAUUAGAUACCCCUGUA
rnacentral:rRNA from 1 species